UUAAGUUCAGCGGGUAUCCCUACCUGAUCCGAGGUCAACCUUACUGCUUUACACAGAAUGGGGGUCCAAUGGCCUGGAUUCUGACCAGCUUCAAACUAGUUUAGUAUCUCAAAUACUCUGAAAGUCUGUUACUGUGGUCUACAUUUCCGGCCUAUUUAUUCCAGCAGAGUGGGACCAGCAAUGCUAGCCCUACCCACUUC
rnacentral:misc_RNA from 1 species